AACGAACGCUGGCGGCACGCCUAACACAUGCAAGUCGAGCGGGAUCUUCGGAUCUAGCGGCGGACGGGUUAGUAACGCGUGGGAACGUACCCAGAUCUACGGAAUAGCCUCGGGAAACUGAGAGUAAUACCGUAUACGCCCUUCGGGGGAAAGAUUUAUCGGAUUUGGAUCGGCCCGCGUAAGAUUAGAUAGUUGGUGGGGUAAUGGCCUACCAAGUCUACGAUCUUUAGCUGGUUUGAGAGGAUGAUCAGCAACACUGGGACUGAGACACGGCCCAGACUCCUACGGGAGGCAGCAGUGGGGAAUCUUAGACAAUGGGCGCAAGCCUGAUCUAGCGAUGCCGCGUGAGUGAUGAAGGCCUUAGGGUCGUAAAGCUCUUUCGCCUGUGAAGAUAAU
rnacentral:rRNA from 1 species